UCUACGGGAGGCAGCAGUAGGGAAUCUUCCACAAUGGACGCAAGUCUGAUGGAGCAACGCCGCGUGAGUGAAGAAGGUUUUCGGAUCGUAAAGCUCUGUUGUUGGUGAAGAAAGAUAGUGAGAGUAACUGCUUAUUAUUUGCCGGUAAUCAACCAGAAAGUCACGGCUAACUACGUGCCAGCAGCCGCGGUAAUA
rnacentral:rRNA from 1 species